CACAUGAAUGUUGGAAGAAGCUUGAUUUCAUUAAAUCUAAAGUAUGGUGGGUUUCUACUCUUGCUUUUUUGGUGUCCAUUGUUGGAGGUUAGAGAGAUGUGAUGGAAUUAUGAUGAUAAAGACAUGAGGUUAUGGCUGCAUAAUGCCUUGUUGGACCACUUGAGAAGUGGCUUUGGGUCUUCACAUUGUGUCUUGGAGUAGAGUAUUUUCGAGAUCAAAAGUGAUAGAUCAGCGUGAAUCUUGAAAGACUGCCUGUAGAUGUUGCUUGUCCUGUUGUGAAAUUGUAGUUCUUGUCAUUGUCUAUCACUAUGUUACUGUAUUUUGUAUUUCUGGUCUUCUUGUAUCUUUGCAUUGUAUACACUGUAAAGUCUGUAAUCUUGUAACCCAGUUGGUUUGUUAUAGUUUUACCUAUCCUGUAUCAGAUUUUGAGGCCUUGCAAGCCUAUGGGAUUCACGCCCUGUGGGUCUGCGGCCGUUUGUCUGCGCACCGGGUCCGGUGAGCCGGGUUCGGGGCGUGACAUUACUAGUCUAAAUUAUGCCAUGAUUUUAAUAUAUAUCACUUGACAAUGAAAUGUGAAAUCAUUGAUUUUAGAUGCAUUGCAUUAAUUCAACAAGAUUAUUUGUCCCUAAUUUAGUGUGGUUUUGAUUUUGUUGUUGAAUGUGGUUUUGAUUUUGUUAAUUGAACAGUAGUUAUGUUCAGUUGAAGAAAGACACUAAAAAAUAAUAAUGUAUUAUAAAGCUAAAUGAAUUAAGGAGGAGAUAAAUUAUGAAAAAGGAAGAAGCCACGUGGAGAUGGUGCAUUGAUAAGCUAGUGCUAAUUGUUUUAUGGUUUGGAAUAAUCUAGUGAAGGUAUGCAUGUUUGAUCAUUUUUAAGAUGUGAAUAAACCAUAAAUUCAUUAGAAUUAAAUCUUAAUCAUUUCUUUCUUGGCAAUCCUAUAUGCUAACAACUCAUGCUAUGCAUCAAGCAACAAUUCCUCUAGAGUAUUCAAGAUGUGAAUGCUAUUUUGUUUGCUGGUCCUAAUAUCAUUGACCAUUAGAUGCAUUAAACUUGCCUUCAUGGGUUUCACAUGCAUAUAGCUAAAAGUGAAUGACUAUUACUUGUCAACUUUUUAGACGAACACACAUAAAUAUAUAUAUAUAUAUAUAUAUACAUGCUGCCAACUUUUAGAUAUAUACUAUCAGUUGUCUUCCAACUUUGGUCAAGGUUUGUCAAGCAUGCAUAACUUAUUGGUGGACCAUAUAUCCAAAGGCCACUAUAGAUCACAAUACACUUGCUAUUUUUUAUUUUAUUUUAUUUUAUUGAGGUCAUUGUCAUCUUUAAUUAAUCAAACAAGGCAAAAAAAUUAAUUCGUACGUGAUUACUUAAAUUUCAUCCUGCAUGAACUUUGAAAGGUUCAUAGAAAUUCUAAUGCCUGUUUACUGAGCCAAGGAUGCUGAACACGUUUUGCUGAUUGUUUCUUCAAAGAAAGAAUAAUUUGAUCUUUUACACAAAUCCCUAUCUUAUACUAUAAUCUGUGAUUAGCAUACAAUAUAUAUAUAUAAAUAUGUUGAGAUGAUUGCUCAAAACUUCUUAGAAUGUCUUUCGUUGCUUCUAGAAUAGUGCCACACAAAAACACAAGUGAAGAGAGUAUAUAUUAGCCACACAGUUUCAAUUCAUCCAUUGCCAUUGUCAAUGAGGGUACUUAGGCAGGAGAAAAAAUAAUUGGCAAAAUUUAUUCUGACUACUUAUUAGUGGAUGUUAAUUGGAGAAUAUGGAGAUUAGUGAUAUGGAUUGACAACAUUAUUUACUUUUGUUUUGGAGACAAUUGAGAUUAUUCUAAGCAAAAAGGUGUUUUUAGAUAUGGAGAACUUGAUCUCGUUGCUGGAGGAGUGAAGCAAUAUUAGGAGGAUCAUUGUCAUUGGAGUAGUAAGUGAGCAAUGUAGGCGGUUUCCUUCCAUACACAAUCUGGAAUGGGGUCAUGCCAACACUACAAUGAAAGGCUGUGUUGUACCAGAAUUGAGCCCAAGGAAGCAAAUUCCACCACUGUUUAGGAUUAUCAUAAACAAAGCACCGAAGAUACAUCUCCAAACACUUAUUUAAUGUUUGUGUUUGUCCAUUUGUUUGCGGAUGGUAUGAAGACGAUAUUGAUAAUAUAGUACCCAUCGAUUGAAAUAGAGACUUCCAAAAAUUACUUAGAAACACCUUGUCCCUAUCUGUCACAAUAGACUUAGGAACUCCAUGUAAUUUUAUUAUGUUGUGUAUGAAUUCUAUUCCAACUGUUGUCCUAGAGAAUCCCCUUUUAAUGGAAUGAAAUGACCAAAUUUGGAGAGCCUACCCACAAUCACUAAUAUUACUGUAUAUCCUUUGGAAUUUGGAAGCCCAGUGAUAAAAUCCAUGGCAAUUUCCUCCCAUAUUUUCUGUGGUAUUAGUAAAGGUUGUAACAACCCUGCUGGGUAUGUAUUAGCUGAUUUAGCUUGUUGACAUACUAUACAAUUCUUCACAAAUUCAGCUACCUCUCUUGGCUUAACCCAUGCUAAAAAAAUUGAGAUGCAAUUCUAGAGUAUGUCCUGAGAGACCCCGCAUGACCUUUCAACUUUGAAGCAUGAUAUUCCCGCAAAAUUUAUUUCUUGAUCUCAGAAUCAGCAGGAACUACUAUUUUAUCUUCAUAGAAUAACAAUUGAUGUUUCAUUGUAAAUUUGGUAGCAUAGGUAGUUCCUUGCUGUAUAGCUGUCAGUAUAUUCACACAAAAUUGAUCUUGCAACUGUAAUUGUUGUAUUUGAUGUACCAGUGAACUCUGGAAGGGAGAAAUUGUCAAAUAACAACUCCUGGAUAAUGCAUCAGCUACUAUAUUAUCUCUGCCUAGUUUGAAUUCCACUAAAAAGUCAUAGCCCUAUAAUUUUGGAAGCCAUCUUUGCUGUUCUAAAGUGUGAAUUGUCUGCUGACAUAAUUGUUUUAAUGCUUCCUGAUCAGCUCUAAUAAUGAAAAUCUGUCCCACCAUAUAAUGUCUGAACUUGCUGAUAGCUUCAGUUACAGCAAAUAAAUCUCUGAAAUAUGUUGACUGUUUUUGCAUUGUUUGAGUUAAUUUUUUUUGAAAAGUAAGCAAUUGACUGCUUCUCUUGGCUUAGUAAUGCACCUAUUCCUAGCAUUGAUGCAUCAGUUUCUAAAAUGAAUGUCUUAGAAAAAUCUGGCAUCUUAAGAACUGGUACAAUAGUGAUACUUUCUUUGAGUUGUUGAAAUACAUUCAGUGCUGCCUGAUUCC